GCAUUUGUUUAUCGUGACGAUUCGCGAAGAUUCGAGUUUUCGUACCUAUAUAAGGAUUUGUUUAACGAUCGCAGCAGCCAGUAUUGCCACGACGUUGACGAGGUGCGUUUUUGUGACCAUAUAAGGUAGUGUAAACGUUUUGGAACCGCUGUGAUUCAUCACGACGCAGACAAGUCGAAUUUUCGUACACCCAUACAAGAUUUUAUUCCUGAUCAACGAAAAGAAACCUGUUUGAAGAUUCACAAAAGAUCGUAGUUUUCGUUCGGACGCAGCGAGCUUACGAAAUUAGGAAUUUCGCCAAGGAGGUCGGUCGUACAAGUUUUUCCACUUUUGUUCGAGGCACACUAACUAAAGUUUUGCGCGCGCUGCAUACUACUACAACUACUACAUUACGACCUCUUCCUCCUCCUCACAACAUCCUUCCACCACCUCCCACACAUCCCGGAGCACAACUUAAUUAAGUACGAAACUUUAGUACGGGUAAACAUUAAAAAGGACAUUCCAUUAAAAAACGAGACCGAAAUUAAUUAAGCAAUUCUCCUCGUCCUCUAUAUACAUACAUACACCUUCUCUAUAUAGACACACACAGACUAAUAUAGUCCAAUAUUUAUUUCUGCUGUUCCUUUUAUCUCGCGCAAACGUUUAUUCCCAAUAAAAAAGGUGCCGGGGACGGGACGAAGGCUAAUUAAUUUUCUGUAACAAUUAAUAUUUAAUUAUCUUCGCCAAAUUUCUUCUUUCUUCUCUUCCUUUUUUUUUUGUUUUCACUUCUUUCCAUAGCCUCAGGCCGAAACCCAGACUCCGAGCGGCGGCGGCAGUCAAUCAAUAAACUCAAUUAAAACUUAGCGGAGCCGAAAUCGAUGAUUUUAAUUAAAACUUAAAAUACAUCAAUUUUUUUUUUUCAAAUAUUUUUAAUUUUUCGAUGCCCCCGAAAUAACGAGCGCCGAAGAUCGUUUCUUCA